rnacentral:tRNA from 1 species
UAUAACGGUAAGCUAAAGAAGCUAUUGGGUUCAUACCCCAAUUAUAUAGGUAUACCCCUUUCCUUUAUAA